rnacentral:tRNA from 10 species
GCGCCUGUAGCUCAGUUGGAUAGAGUACCUGGCUACGAACUAGGUGGUCGGGAGUUCGAAUCUCUCCAGGCGCGCCA